rnacentral:rRNA from 1 species
AACGAACGCUGGCGGCAUGCCUAACACAUGCAAGUCGAACGGGAUCCUAGCUUGCUAGGUGAGAGUGGCGGACGGGUGAGUAACACGUGGGAAUCUGCCUUUUGGUUCGGGAUAACCGCGGGAAACUGCGGCUAAUACCGAAUGCCCUCGAGAGAGGAAAGAUUUAUCGCCAGAAGAGGAGCCCGCGUCCGAUUAGGUAGUUGGUGGGGUAAAGGCCUACCAAGCCGACGAUCGGUAGCUGGUCUGAGAGGAUGAUCAGCCACACUGGGACUGAGAUACGGCCCAGACUCCUACGGGAGGCAGCAGUGGGGAAUAGUUGGACAAUGGGGGCAACCCUGAUCCAGCAAUGCCGCGUGAGUGAUGAAGGCCUUAGGGUUGUAAAGCUCUUUGCCAGGGAAGAUGAUGACUGUACCUGGAGAAGUAAGCCCCGGCUAACUUCGUGCCAGCAGACCACGGUAA